GUUCUCAGAUGUGUUGAGAAUCCUACCUGCUCAAUGUUUAAUAGCUGCAGUAAUCUGACUGUGCAAAGGUAGCAAAAUCCCUUGUCUCUUAAUUGGUGGCGUGUGAAAGGUAAGAUGGGGCAGACAGUUUUAGAGAUUGAACUUUAAUUAGGAGUAAAAAUGCUCUUAUAAAUCUUCAGGACGAUAAGACCCUAGGAGCUUCCUCAAACGGUUGGCUGGGGCAGUUCAAGGAGGUAAUUUAUCUUUUUAAAGUUACCCUAGGGAUAACAGCGUAAUAUAAGGGAAGAGUACUUAUUUAUCUUUAUGUUUGCGACCUCGAUGUUGAAUUAUAGGGUGCAGGAGCUUUAGUCUGUUCGCCUAUUAAAUCUAUACA
rnacentral:rRNA from 1 species